AGCUCCAUAGUGUAGUGGUUAGCAUGUCUGCUUUACACACAGAAAGUCCUGGGCUCACACCCCAGAUAGAGCCA
rnacentral:tRNA from 1 species